rnacentral:siRNA from 1 species
GUCGGGAGGUGUGAUCCCUCGUU